rnacentral:rRNA from 1 species
CGUUUGAUCAUGGCUCAGAUUGAACGCUGGCGGCAGGCCUAACACAUGCAAGUCGAGCGGUAGAGAGGUGCUUGCAUCUCUUGAGAGCGGCGGACGGGUGAGUAAUGCCUAGGAAUCUGCCUAGUGGUGGGGGGAUAACGUUCGGAAACGGACGCUAAUACCGCAUACGUCCUACGGGAGAAAGCGGGGGAUCUUCGGACCUCGCGCCAUUAGAUGAGCCUAGGUCGGAUUAGCUAGUUGGUGAGGUAAUGGCUCACCAAGGCGACGAUGGGUAGGGGUCCUGAGAGGGAGAUCCCCCACACUGGUACUGAGACACGGCCCAGACUCCUACGGGAGGCAGCAGUGGGGAAUUUUGGACAAUGGGCGCAAGCCUGAUCCAGCAAUGCCGCGUGCAGGAUGAAGGCCUUCGGGUUGUAAACUGCUUUGUACGGAACGAAACGGUGAGCUCUAAUACAGUUUGCUAAUGACGGUACCGUAAGAAUAAGCACCGGCUAACUACGUG